GGGGGCGACAGGUUUCGACAGCAAGACGGAAGGUCUGGCAGAGCGAGCCGAGGAUGGGGAAGCCUCGUUAAUCCGGCUCCAAAACAAUAAUUGCCAACGAAGAUUUCGCACUGGCUGCUUAGUUAAAGCAGUCACGCCCUCCGGGGGCUCGGUCGUUGGAACCCGGAAGCGGCGUCACAAAGACGACUGGAAUCACGCUAACUUCUUCUGAGCGCGAUUCGAGACUCUAGGGAAGAACCGGCGACCGGAAUCCUGUCCGUAGGGAGCCCGGAAGCCUAAAUCAAAACACGGACUACGCUCGUAGCGCUAUCAGGUUGUCCCUUGUUGGACCGGAGUUCGAUUCUCCGCGCCUCCACCA
rnacentral:tmRNA from 1 species